rnacentral:snoRNA from 1 species
AAUCGGUGAUGUGGGCAACAUCUCAAAAGAUCCUUAAAACUCUCCCAUGCAUCAUACAUGCUUUCAAAGGUAGAAAACUGAGAUAAUAUGCUCAUUAGCCU